GAUGAACGCUGGCGGCGUGCUUAACACAUGCAAGUCGAACGAAGCACUUUAUUUGAUUUCCUUCGGGACUGAUUAUUUUGUGACUGAGUGGCGGGCGGGUGAGUAACGCGUGGGUAACCUGCCUUGUACAGGGGGAUAACAGUUGGAAACGGCUGCUAAUACCGCAUAAGCGCACAGCAUCGCAUGAUGCAGUGUGAAAAACUCCGGUGGUAUAAGAUGGACCCGCGUUGGAUUAGCUAGUUGGUGAGGUAACGGCCCACCAAGGCGACGAUCCAUAGCCGACCUGGGAGGGUGACCGGCCACAUUGGGACUGAGACCCGGCCCAAACUCCUACGGGAGGCAGCAGUGGGGAAUAUUGCACAAUGGGCGAAAGCCUGAUGCAGCGACGCCGCGUGAGCGAAGAAGUAUUUCGGUAUGUAAAGCUCUAUCAGCAGGGAAGAUAAUGACGGUACCUGACUAAGAAGCACCGGCUAAAUACGUG
rnacentral:rRNA from 1 species